rnacentral:misc_RNA from 1 species
ACGUGCACAAACUCAGAUACAUCAAUUAAACAUGCUAGAUUCAGAACCUAAGCUGAAAAUACAUAAAAAUUUUACCUUGAUUCAGAAUGCAAGACAUUGGGAGGCAUGGAAACAUCAGAAGGAAGCUGAUUUAACUCUGUUAAACAAUGAUUUGGAAGCUGAUUCGAUUGAUAGAGGCCGCCAUGGUUGAAUUGAUCCAUUUUCCGCAGUAUA